rnacentral:rRNA from 1 species
AGAGUUUGAUCCUGGCUCGAUUGAACGCUGGCGGCAGGCCUAACACAUGCAAGUCGAGCGGAAACGAGUUAUCUGAACCUUCGGGGAACGAUAACGGCGUCGAGCGGCGGACGGGUGAGUAAUGCCUAGGAAAUUGCCCUGAUGUGGGGGAUAACCAUUGGAAACGAUGGCUAAUACCGCAUGAUGCCUACGGGCCAAAGAGGGGGACCUUCGGGCCUCUCGCGUCAGGAUAUGCCUAGGUGGGAUUAGCUAGUUGGUGAGGUAAGGGCUCACCAAGGCGACGAUCCCUAGCUGGUCUGAGAGGAUGAUCAGCCACACUGGAACUGAGACACGGUCCAGACUCCUACGGGAGGCAGCAGUGGGGAAUAUUGCACAAUGGGCGCAAGCCUGAUGCAGCCAUGCCGCGUGUAUGAAGAAGGCCUUCGGGUUGUAAAGUACUUUCAGUCGUGAGGAAGGUAGUGUAGUUAAUAGCUGCAUUAUUUGACGUUAGCGACAGAAGAAGCACCGGCUAACUCCGUGCCAGCAGCCGCGGUAAUACGGAGGGUGCGAGCGUUAAUCGGAAUUACUGGGCGUAAAGCGCAUGCAGGUGGUUUGUUAAGUCAGAUGUGAAAGCCCGGGGCUCAACCUCGGAAUAGCAUUUGAAACUGGCAGACUAGAGUACUGUAGAGGGGGGUAGAAUUUCAGGUGUAGCGGUGAAAUGCGUAGAGAUCUGAAGGAAUACCGGUGGCGAAGGCGGCCCCCUGGACAGAUACUGACACUCAGAUGCGAAAGCGUGGGGAGCAAACAGGAUUAGAUACCCUGGUAGUCCACGCCGUAAACGAUGUCUACUUGGAGGUUGUGGCCUUGAGCCGUGGCUUUCGGAGCUAACGCGUUAAGUAGACCGCCUGGGGAGUACGGUCGCAAGAUUAAAACUCAAAUGAAUUGACGGGGGCCCGCACAAGCGGUGGAGCAUGUGGUUUAAUUCGAUGCAACGCGAAGAACCUUACCUACUCUUGACAUCCAGAGAACUUUCCAGAGAUGGAUUGGUGCCUUCGGGAACUCUGAGACAGGUGCUGCAUGGCUGUCGUCAGCUCGUGUUGUGAAAUGUUGGGUUAAGUCCCGCAACGAGCGCAACCCUUAUCCUUGUUUGCCAGCGAGUAAUGUCGGGAACUCCAGGGAGACUGCCGGUGAUAAACCGGAGGAAGGUGGGGACGACGUCAAGUCAUCAUGGCCCUUACGAGUAGGGCUACACACGUGCUACAAUGGCGCAUACAGAGGGCGGCCAACUUGCGAAAGUGAGCGAAUCCCAAAAAGUGCGUCGUAGUCCGGAUUGGAGUCUGCAACUCGACUCCAUGAAGUCGGAAUCGCUAGUAAUCGUGGAUCAGAAUGCCACGGUGAAUACGUUCCCGGGCCUUGUACACACCGCCCGUCACACCAUGGGAGUGGGCUGCAAAAGAAGUAGGUAGUUUAACCUUCGGGGGGACGCUUACCACUUUGUGGUUCAUGACUGGGGUGAAGUCGUAACAAGGUAGCCGU